rnacentral:rRNA from 1 species
AGAGAGAGACAUGCGCGCAUAUCAAUAAGCGGAGGAAAAGAAACUAACUAGGAUUCCCUCAGUAACGGCGAGUGAAGCGGGAAGAGCUCAAAUUUGAAAUCUUCAAGGUUCUACCUUGACGAAUUGUAGUUUAUAGAAGUGUUUUCUGUUAGUAGAGUGGCUAAAAGUUCUUUGGAAUAGGACAUCAUAGAGGGUGAGAAUCCCGUAUUUGACCAUUAUUUCCAGCUGUGUGAUACACUUUCAAAGAGUCGGAUUGUUUGGGAAUGCAGUCCAAAAUGGGUGGUAAAUUUCAUCUAAAGCUAAAUAUUGGCGAGAGACCGAUAGCGAACAAGUACCGUGAGGGAAAGAUGAAAAGAACUUUGAAAAGAGAGUUAAACAGUACGUGAAAUUGUCAAAAGGGAAGCGUUUGACACCAGUGUUGUUUUCUCGAAAAUCAAUUAAAGAUGGCUGGAUGUUAGUGUUGUAUUGACUUUAUCAGCAUUACUGUCCUCGUUUUCUUGUCUUUGUGAAUGCACUUUUCGUUUAACAAGUCAACAUCAAUUUCUUUUGUUGUAAAAGGGUCAGAUGGAAGGUGGCUUCAGCUUUCGGUAGAAAGUGUUUAUAGCCUUUUACCUCUGCAGUCGGAGAGAUUGAGGUCUGCAGCGUAGACUCCUUCGGGGUUAGAUACAUUUGUGCUAAGCUAUAGCCUUUCAUAGACAACUUGUUGACUAUGAUCAGUCAUGUAGCUUACUCGCCUAUGUCUAUUUUACCUACGCUUAGGAUGUUGACAGCAGUAUAGACUGU